UAUGUAGGGUGCAAGCGUUGUCCGGAAUUACUGGGCGUAAAGCGUGCGUAGACGGUCAUGUAAGUCGGGUGUGAAAGCCCCGGGCUCAACCUGGGAAUUGCAUUCGAGACUGCAUGGCUAGGGUGCGGAAGAGGGAAGCGGAAUUUCCGGUGUAGCGGUGAAAUGCGUAGAUAUCGGAAGGAACACCAGUGGCGAAAGCGGCUUCCUGGUCCAGCACCGACGUUCAGGCACGAAAGCGUGGGGAGCAAACAGG
rnacentral:rRNA from 1 species